AGCUUUCGAAAAAGUUUUACUACUUCAAAAAACUUUCAACGUUGGCACGGGGAAAUGUUUUGGAUAAGUCGGUCAACCUGCCCGUGUAUUAAUUUAACUAUUAACUUAAUAUCAGGGAGUACAUAUAGGUGGCCAAAAAAAUUUCUUUCUACCCCCUAAUUCCCCCCUCCCGCGUAGGCCUAUAUGUCUUCAGCAAUGCAGAGAAUUGUGUUUCACGCAUGCUGUCUCAUGCAUACAGCACAAUAUAAAGAAUGUCAGUGUAGAUGUUAAAUCAUGCAUUUACAUCUAGUACGUUUAUUUAAUUGCAAAGCUUUAGACCCGUUUAAAUUACCUCAGUAUUCAGGGUACUGAAUUAUUCUUGCUGCA